rnacentral:misc_RNA from 1 species
GGCAGCUCAAGAUCAGCAACAGCAACAGCCACAGCCGCCCAGGGUGGUGGAGGGUCUGAACCCCGCUGUUCAACAACAACUGAAUCUCGAAUCCGUUAAAACUCGAGCCGUUAGUUUGUUCAAGGCUAUUUCUCGCAUCCUCGAAGACUUCGACGCUAUCGCUCGCACCAAUGCUGUCCCCAAAUGGCAAGAUAUUUUGGGGCAAUUUUCUAUGGUGAAUCUUGAGCUUUAUAACAUUGUUGAAGAUAUUAAGAAGGUCUCCAAGGCUUUUGUUGUUCACCCCAAGAAUGUAAAUGCUGAGAAUGCUGCAAUUCUACCUGUUAUGCUGUCAUCAAAGCUGCUGCCAGAGAUGGAAGUCGAAGAUAAUGCCAAAAGGGAGCAAUUAUUACACAGCAUGCAACACCUAUCGGUAGCAUCCCAAAUUGAGAAGUUGAAGGUUAGAAUUGAUAUGAUUGGAGCAGCAUGUGAAAGUGCUGAGAAAGUCAUAGCUGAUACGCGCAAAGCCUACUUUGGAACCAGACAGGGGCCAACACUGCUUCCAACUAUUGACAAGGCACAAGCAGCAAAAAUUCAGGAACAAGAAAAUUUACUUCGCACUGCAGUAAAUCAUGGUGAAGGAUUACGUGUACCUGGAGACCAAAGGCAUAUUACUUCUGCACUUCCUGGUCAUUUGGUAGAUGUGCUUACAGUGUCUGAUGGCCCCCAGUCUUUCGCUGAUUCAUCCGGGACUUAUCUGAAGAAUACUCCUCCCUUUCCAUCGAGCAAUGUUAAUAGUCAGGGAGCUUUGUUACAGGCUUCUGGAGCACUUCGGGCUGCAGUUUCUCCUUCUGGGCCCACUUCCUUUGAUACUACAACAGCAUCACCUCUGCAACAUGUCAACUCACCUAGGUCUAGUGCUAACAUGAUGAAUACACCAUCUCCUCAGCAACAGACCCAUCAGCAACA